GGCAGCCGGGAGCCUGGGAAAUGGAAUACCCCUACACAACCAAGAUGCUGCCUUCCUCUCUGAGCCUGCAAAACGGCACCUGGUCAGACACCGUCUCUCUGCUCUUAGCUCUUGGCGUUGCUCUCUACUUGGGCUACUACUGGGCAUGUGUGCCCCAGCGAAGUCCUCCAGACCCCAGAUGGAGGCCAGUUCCUUCUAGACUGGGCUGAGCGGUCUAACAGCACUCAUUACCAGGACCCUACCACCCAGCCCAUAGUACUGCUGCUUCCGGGCAUCAGCGGCAGCAGCCAGGAGCCGUACAUCUUACACCUAGCUGACCAAGCUCUGAAGGAUGGCUAUAGGGCUGUUGUAUUUAAUAACCGAGGAUGCCGAGGGGAAGAGCUGCUGACUCACAGGGCUUACUGUGCCAGCAACACUGAAGAUCUAGAAAUAGUUGUGAAGCACAUAAAACGCCGCUACUCCCAAGCUCCGCUGCUGGCUGUGGGCAUCUCUUUUGGAGGGAUACUGGUGCUUAACUAUCUGGCCCGGACCGGGAAGGCCGGAGGCUUGGUCGCGGGACUGACCAUGUCUGCAUGUUGGGAUUCCUUUGAGACCGUUGACUCCUUGGAGACCCCACUCAACUCACUGCUCUUCAAUCAGCCACUCACUGCUGGACUCUGCCGGCUUGUGGCCAGGAACAGAAAGCCAAUUGAAAAGGUGUUGGAUGUAGACUUUGCGAUAAAGGCCCGCACGAUCCGCCAGCUGGAUGAGCGCUACACGUCUGUGGCUUUUGGGUAUGAAGACUGUGCGGCUUAUUACCAAGCGGCAAGCCCAAGGACCAAGGUGGACGCCAUCCACACCCCUGUGCUCUGCCUCAAUGCAGCAGACGACCCCUUCUCCCCAGUCCACG
ensembl:processed_transcript